rnacentral:tRNA from 1 species
AUCCCUUUAAUAUAUAUAGUAUAUUUAAUUUCCAAUUAAAAAGAUUGUUUAAUCAAAAGAGAUA